GACGAACGCUGGCGGCGUGCUUAAUACAUGCAAGUCGAACGGAAAGGCCCUGCUUUUGUGGGGUGCUCGAGUGGCGAACGGGUGAGUAACACGUGAGUAACCUGCUCUUGACUUUGGGAUAACUUCAGGAAACUGGGGCUAAUACCGGAUAGGAGCUCCUGCUGCAUGGUGGGGGUUGGAAAGUUUCGGCGGUUGGGGAUGGACUCGCGGCUUAUCAGCUUGUUGGUGGGGUAGUGGCUUACCAAGGCUUUGACGGGUAGCCGGCCUGAGAGGGUGACCGGCCACAUUGGGACUGAGAUACGGCCCAGACUCCUACGGGAGGCAGCAGUGGGGAAUAUUGCACAAUGGGCGGAAGCCUGAUGCAGCAACGCCGCGUGCGGGAUGACGGCCUUCGGGUUGUAAACCGCUUUCGCCUGUGACGAAGCGUGAGUGACGGUAAUGGGUAAAGAAGCACCGGCUAACUACGUG
rnacentral:rRNA from 1 species